rnacentral:rRNA from 1 species
GGAUCCAGACUUUGAUUCUGGCUCAGGAUGAACGCUAGCUACAGGCUUAACACAUGCAAGUCGCGGGGCAGCAUGUCGGUUGCUUGCAACCGACGAUGGCGACCGGCGCACGGGUGAGUAACGCGUAUCCAACCUGCCCUUCACCACGGAAUAAUCCAGUGAAAAUUGGUCUAAUACCGUAUGAGGUCAUACGAUGGCAUCAGAAUAUGACGAAAGGUUUGGCGGUGAAGGAUGGGGAUGCGUCUGAUUAGCUUGUUGGUGAGGUAACGGCUCACCAAGGCGACGAUCAGUAGGGGUUCUGAGAGGAAGGUCCCCCACAUUGGAACUGAGACACGGUCCAAACUCCUACGGGAGGCAGCAGUGAGGAAUAUUGGUCAAUGGGCGAGAGCCUGAACCAGCCAAGUAGCGUGCAGGAAGACGGCCCUAUGGGUUGUAAACUGCUUUUAUAUGGGGAUAAAGUGAGUUACGUGUAGCUUAUUGCAGGUACCAUAUGAAUAAGGACCGGCUAAUUCCGUGCCAGCAGCCGCGGUAAUACGGAAGGUCCAGGCGUUAUCCGGAUUUAUUGGGUUUUAAGGGAGCGUAGGCCGCCCCUUAAGCGUGUUGUGAAAUGCCGCGGCUCAACCGUGGCACUGCAGCGCGACCUGGGGGGCUUGAGUGCACGCAACGCAGGCGGAAUUCGUGGUGUAGCGGUGAAAUGCUUAGAUAUCACGAAGAACUCCGAUUGCGAAGGCAGCUUGCGGGAGUGCGACUGACGCUGAAGCUCGAAGGUGCGGGUAUCGAACAGGAUUAGAUACCCUGGUAGUCCGCACAGUAAACGAUGGAUGCCCGCUGUGUGCCUUCAUGGUACGCGGCCAAGCGAAAGCGUUAAGCAUCCCACCUGGGGAGUACGCCGGCAACGGUGCAACUCAAAGGAAUUGACGG